rnacentral:rRNA from 1 species
CGGAGAGUUUGAUCCUGGCUCAGGAUAAACGCUGGCGGCGUGCAUGAGACAUGCAAGUCGAACGGACGAUCAGGGCUUGCUCUGAUCGUUAGUGGCGGACGGCUGAGUAACGCGUAGGUGACCUGCCCCGAAGUGGGGAAUAACUGCCCGAAAGGGUGGCUAAUACCGCAUGUGGUGGUUCGUUCAAGCGCUCCACCAAAGCCGCAAGGCGCUUCGGGAGGGGCCUGCGUCCGAUUAGCUCGUUGGUGGGGUAACGGCUCACCAAGGCGACGAUCGGUAGGUGGUCUGAGAGGACGAUCACCCAGACUGGGACUGAGACACGGCCCAGACUCCUACGGGAGGCAGCA